rnacentral:lncRNA from 1 species
GCGAUUGGCGAGCCUCGCGUGUGCACAUCCGCUGGGGCCGCUGUGAACUGCCUCACGUGUGCGCUCCUUGAGACACCAGCGAGUCUCUCACGUGCGACGCUAGGCCGAGGCGAGCCUCUGCUCAUGACCGCUGGGGGCUGCCUGCAAGCCUCUCGCGCGCGACACCGGAGCCGUGACGAGCGUGAUACGCACAUCGCAUGACGGCCAAAGCCCCUGCAGUGAAGUGUCCGUACUGUUGAGCGAAAGGAGGAAGAGGGUCCUGAGGGUAUCGCUAUCUUUUCCGUGUGCAUGUUUUCUUUUUUCUUUUUCUUUUCAUUUUAGCAUUUUGUUGUGAGAAAGUAGGGGUAAACGGCAGGUUCAUUCUAAAACCAUGAGGGAAAAAACACAAAGUUUAAAAAGUGAGGGUAAAAUCACAAUUGGAGUCUAGGUAAAGGGUAGAAACACCAAAUUCCUAAUUUAUUAAGAUGAAUUAGUCGAAAUAUGCAAUUAGUUAUUUAUUGGUAUUAAAAACAUCAUCCACAUCCCACAUGCCUAGACACGGAAACUUUUCACCCUUUCACCCUAUAGAAUACUCCCAAGAGUUUAACUGAAAAUAUUUUUCGUCCCUUGGAUGUGCAUCUUCUGCUACAUACUCCCUUCGCCGUAAAAGAGUGUCAUUUUAGACUUCUUAGAUGUGUUUGAUCAUUCGUCUUAUUUGAUUUUUUUGAUAAAUUUUAUAUAUUUUGUUAUGACUGAUUUGAACAUAAAAAUACUUCAAUAAUAAUUAAUUUAUUUUAUAAUUUACAUAAAAAAUUUGAAUAAGAUGAACCGACAAAUAAUAAAACCUGUCUAAACGAAAGGCCGUUCUUAAUGGACGGAGGGGGUAACUUUCAAAGCCAUACGCUGCUGCCAUCGCCCAGCGACUCUGGUCCUGGUACCGGUGCCAUGGUGAAGCAGUUCAAGGUGUUGCUUCAUACUAGUUCUUCCCACAAGCUGGUAAGCACAGCCUCCCUCCACCGCCGGUGGAUCUCAGUCGCCGGCUACGCUUCAUAUAUGUGCUAACGAAACCCAC